UCUUCGUUUAAUGUUAUAAAAUCCAAUAUAAGAGCCAAUGUCACAAAGUAAAGGUAAAUGAUCAAUGUCAUUGAAAAAUUUAGUGUUUGCUUUGAAUUUCGUGCUUUAUAACAACAUUCUACAGGCAGUUCUAUAACACUCUAGACAAUGCACGUGUUGUAAAAACACGUACAAGAUCGUGUUACGCACCGUAUGACAAACUAUUCACAUAUUCUAUUUAUAGAAAAUAUCGUGAUUACGAACUAUCGCGUGCAAUACUUUACACGUUGCAGUACUUUCCAAGAUGAUUCAAUGGAGUCAAUUAUACUAACUUGUUCUUUUUGUAUACUUAAAAAUUCAACUUAUGAUAUAAUGUUUUGAAUAAUACAUAAGGGUCUUUGCUCGUAUUGCAUAUUUAUAUCAAGUAUGAUUAAAUAACAAGGUCGAUCGAUAUAUAUAGUUUUCUUUGAGUUGAAAGAAAAAACAAGCUAAUUCAACAGAUUUAAAUAUUCCAUACUACCAUCGACAUAACCACGCAAUUAUACACAAUUUAAUUUGACCUUAUCAUCUGUAACGUUUAAAAUGAAAUCGCUUUUUACAUACUUAAUUAAGGAAACUACAGCAUUAAUCUUAAUUAAGAAAAUUUCGGUUUAAAUAUAUCAUACUAUGUAGUAGAACUGUUUAUUUAAAUAUAUAAAAUUAAAGGUAGGAUUUAAAUAUUUAUGAAUUGUUUAACAUGUAUACAAAAAGUCACUUUAUUUUAAAGCAAUUAUAGUAAUAAUGGGUUUUAUAAAUUGUUAGUUACUAUAUUACAUAUAGCAAUAAAUAUUUUAAAAAGUUGGAAAAAAUAUUCUACAAUAUUUUCACAGUAAUAAAGUGUAAUCUACUUCUAUUUUAUAUACAUAUUUAUACAAACUUAUGCAUGUACAGAAUAAAGGACAUGCUUAUUAAUAAAUAUAACAUUCUUUGUAAAAAUUUAAUAUUACAAUCUUUAAGUAUUGAGUUGGAAGUGAGAUAGUGUGCAAUUAGUCGUUCCCCUGCAUUGCAAUUUUCUCGUUGCUGUUGUUUCAUACUUAAAAAAAAAGAAAAAACGUU